AAGAAGGAUCAAACCAAUUAUCAAAAGAUCUUCUUUGCAAGAGAGCUAGCACCCCGGAGAGAUAGACAAGUCUUGGAUUAGAUAAGAUCUCAUGUGGAUACCUAUAGAGGUCGGGCAUUUGCAUGGCUCCAGGAACCUAUCAAGUUUUUUAUCAUCGGCUGCGGAGCUCUUCCACCUAUGAUAAGGUAUAGAUCUGAUCUCAUAAAUUAAUUAUAGAUUUCAUAUGCCUUAGAUCC
rnacentral:lncRNA from 1 species